rnacentral:lncRNA from 1 species
UAGGGAAGGACAUUACAGGGCAGAGGGAGGCUGAAACAGUUGAGGUAAAGGCUGCUCAUGACAGUCAAUAAGCAAAAAGGGGCAACGAUAGCCGUCUUCCAGUCUUGUGGAACACUGUCAGUAUUGUAUUGUUCAAGUAACUUCAUUAUGUACAAGUGCACACUACGUGUAUAUGUACAAGUGUAAGGCAGGUGCAGACUAGUUGAAGAGACAGAUAUUCAGAUAAAAGGAAAUCCUAGAACCAGACGCUAGCUCUUUUUCAAUAGACCCCUUGGCUUUUUAACAUACCAGGUAAAUAGCACCGAUGCACGCAAGAUUUUCCUGGGUUUCUAACUAGUACACUUGAAGUUGGCACUUGGCAGUACCAAGUGAAGACAUGUAAGUUUUAGUGCCAUUUUAUAGAAGAGCAGGCGGACAUAGAUGUUGUAAGCUGUUUCUUUAACUUUCAUGUUGUUUGUUUUGACACUCCCUCUGAUAAAUCUAAGUGAAUUAUUUGCUUUUGUGAUGCUAUCAAUAUGUUUGACCGCCUGAAAUCUUUACUUGGUGCGACGCCAAGGUAUUUAGCACGUCUCUAGUUUUUAAUGCCAAAUUAUGGAGUGUAUAAUUGAAGAUGAUAGACUUUUUUCCUUUGAGCAAUCUUCCCUUAUACGGAUUGAAGUAGUUAUAUAAAUACCGAAAUUGGCGCUGUUUUGACCCCAUUUGACCUUUAACCUUUGGUUCAAAGUGACCACUCCUGACCAAUUAAAAAAUAACACAGUGAUAAAGUACUGAAAAAAUAUAUAUUUAACUUUCAAAUUAUCUUAAAAACCUUAACAAAAUCUUUACAACAAGACUGAAAACAAUUUACAGAAUAGUUGUAGCCUUAGCGUGUACACAAUAUUAGUUUUCCAUUAGAGUAUUUCGCUGCUAGGUUAUUAUUAGAUUCUCACUGGUGAGAAUUAAUGCUCUUGAUUUUAGUUACUAUAUAAGUUAAGCCGUGUAGAGUUUUUUCCCUUUGACAAAGUGGUUGGUUUUAAAAGUAGAUAAUUUUUUCGUGAGUUAAAGCUAGUUUCUAUUUCUAAAUAUUUUAGAUAAUCAUGUAAUAAAAUGAUCAGUAAAUAUUUAUUUUUUCACUUGAAAAUAAUACCGAAAGAUUUCAUAAAACUUCAUCAACGAAUAAUCGUAUUGAUUUCCACUUCCGCCGCUUCCGCAUCUAGAACAUUCGUGAUGUGUCAGUUGGCAGUGUGCCUCAAGUGUUUUAUACAAGGAAAUAACAUUAUUACGGCUAACUUAUUUGACAUAAUGAAGUAGAAUUAAAAUGGAUAACAACAGAUAAAUAUUGGAACUUUAAUUAAAAAAGGAAACUGAUUGAGGAAAUAUGCAUAAAAUUGAAUUGGUAAUUUCCGUGUACAUGUUUUCACGUUUCUGAAUUAUGUAACAGCAAUACACAGAGUGACACAAAUAACACAGAUAGUACCAUGGAUUUAAAAGAUCUGUCAAAAUAGUCAAGUGAUGCAAUUAAUAUUGCUAUGCAAACAUGUCCUUCAAAAGACGAAACAGAACAAUUCAAACAAUAUAGUAAUAGAGUUUUACAAAUAUUAAAACGUUCAGAACGGAAUACAAAUGCUUCAAAAAAGGAAAAUGCAUUACCGACAGAUCAAGAACUAUUUUACAAUCAUAUUAUUAAUAAAAAAAAACAAAAUAUCGAUAAAUAUGAUAGAGAUGGAAAUGAAUUUUUAGACAUACAACUAAAUGGACUGGAAGUUGAUAGGGAUCGUUGAUAUAGAUCAAUUUAGUCUGGAAAGGUUGAAAACUGAUCAUGCUGUUAUUAUCAGACUUCAAAGCAAUGUUGAAUUAUAUAACUUAAUAGUGUGUUUUAUACGUGGAGAUAUAUAUCUUAAAAUAUACUCAAAACAUGACGGCGGAGACUUCAGAAACAUCAUGGAACAAAUAGACAUUCCAUACUCCACUGUCAUGCGUUACAUAAGUUUUACAACAACAGUAUUACGUUUUCCACAUUUGAUUGUUUGUGGACUAUAUUUUUCACAGAAAUAUAAAUAUAAAAACUUGAUAGCUGAAUAUUUGUUAAAAGAUAAUAUUGAUUUGGGAGACCGUUUGUCGACACCCAUAUGUAUAAAAGCUGACGGAAGUGUUUUUGAAAUACAGCAUAUUGAAACAAAUAUUCCACCAACGACCAUAAACACCACAAUAAACUAUUAAAUAACCGACGGUUUAAGAACAGCUCAAAACUAAAUAUUGGAAUUAAAACAAUUAAGGAAAAAACGAUUAGAUGAAAUAUAGAUACAGAACUUAACGAUUGUGCAGAACGAAUCAACGAAAUUGAGUAUCUACCUAGAAGCAUAAAUGAUAUGGAUGUAGAAAUCAACACACCCUCCAUCCACAAAAAAGUAAAACAAACAACUGUAUAAGACAGUUUUUGGAGUAGUAUAGAAUGUAACGUUUUUGCACAUUUUGACAGUAGUAUAGAAUAUAACGUUUAUAACACAAUUCUGCAUUACUUUGAUUAAAAAGAGAUUUCAACCUUUUUCAUUGAAAUAAUUUAUGAUUGUUUGUUCAUUUUGUUUUAUAUUGUUAACUUUUAGUAUUUUAUACAAUAAAUCAUAAAUGUUUAUACCAUCUUGUAACAUUUUAAUGAAAAAUAAAAAAUAAUAACCGCACAAUACACUUGUUUUGUAUUGACAUUGUAUGUUGUUAUAUUUUACUCCAGGUAUAAUUUAACUAUUUCCUUUGGUGGAGGAAGUCCGAAUGGGUCAAUGUAUAUUCUAUUUACCUAACAUACCCAGUGUGUUCCGGAUCCGACAGAGUUAUCUAAAUUAAUUAUUCCACAUUCGACCUUUAA